AUUCUGUAUCACCCUCGCUCAAGGACCUGGACUGAAGGAUUUCUGCUUUCAAGAAGAAAAAAAAAAAUAGAAGACAUGUUUACUAAUACACUGCUAUGAAAAGAAAACAUUUGGAAGAUCACUGAUUCCUUCAUGGAGAGGCUGGCUUGGGAAUAGAUGACGUGUCAAAGAUUGACAUCAACCUUGAGUGCUUAUUUGUGGACUUGAGAUACAGAUAAAAAAAAAAAAAAAAAAACCUCCCUAGAGUGAGGGCUACUUGGGAUACAUGCUAUAUCCCAAGGAGUUCUCAGUUUGAGGUCAGCCCCAGCUCUACAACUCACCAGGAGAGUGCGCGAGGAUGAGGGAGAGACAGCCUGCUCUGGUUCUCUUCAAGGUGACAAUGACACCUGUUGACAGAUGAGAAUUCCAGCCAGGAAUACAGAUUUAGGAAUCAUGUUUCUCACUCUCAUGAUGACAUAGAAGAGAUGCGUCUGAAUCUUUCUGCCAGUGUGUUAAAGUUAUUCUGAUAUUGACUGUAGUUCUGAGCUUUGUCUCUAUCCCACCAAACCACUAACUUCUGGAAAUUACUUGUAGACCAAGAUGGGAGGACUCCGUGUGUGGCUCCCUCUCUUCAUGUGACAAAGAAACUUCCUAAAAUACUAAAAGCUAAAGGAGAUUGUUAUCUAAGCUUGAGAUGGAAGGUUGCCAGCGGAAACUUGGAGGAUCACAGCCAGUCGCCUGGGAUUGACCACAGGGAGUGGCAGAGGCAGAAAGCAAAAGACCAGUUGCAAUUAUCCAGAAUCCUGAAUUGAGCCUGUGUUCCCAGUUCCUAGAAACCCUCAAGGUUAUUGGUUUCCUCCUCGCUUAAUAGACCAGUGGAAGAAAUCUACCUCCAGUUCUAUCUUCACAUGAGCAACUGUUUACAGUUUACAAUAUUACUCUGAAAAUCAGUUCUUUUCAAGUUUUAUCUAACACCCACCAGAAGAAACAGAAGAUUAUGAAAAUGGAAUUUGUCAAAGUUCCUCUCCCAACAAUAUGAUAUUUAAUUUUGCUAACAUUUUUUUUUGAACACUUACUAUAUUGCAGACAAUGGUCUAAGUAAAGCAUUUUAUGUGCAUCCUAUCAUGUCAUCAUCACACAGCCCUGUGAGGUAGAUACUAUUAUUAUUAACCACAUUUCACAUUCAAAAAAACUGAGGCUUAGAGAGACUAAGUAAAUUGUCCAAGGUCACACAGCCAUGAAGUGGCAGAGCUGUGGUUAAAACCUAUGUCUGUCUGAUGUUUAAGAUUUUGCUGUUAGCAUUACUUUGAAAUGACAAUAUGAGGGCAUUUUAUGUAUUUUUUUUGCCCCAAUAUGAUCUGCAGAAACUAUGUAUUUUAAGUACUACAUUUCUUUUAUUUACCAAAUUAUUGUCAGAUAAGAAACCGAAAUAAAAGUUUACAGGGUCUAGGAUUCCUCCAUAAUGAAUGAACUUUGGGGUAUUUCAGUGACAAAUUGGCUUUAACGCGAUCAAAUUCCAUCCUACAAUGAAAGUGUGUUAGUUUGUGGUUUCAAGUUUAAAAACAGCACUGUAUUGUCUUCCAGAAAUAUAUAAAUAGAAAUUCAAGAAGUAUUUCAAUGAAUACAGAUAAAAUUAGUUUUGUUAGAACAUCAAAUAUGUGGGUUUCAUUUCUUAGCUCAGUUUAGAAACUGUAAUUUCAAUUUUUUUUAGCAGCUGUGGUAAAUUUUGAGAUUUGAAAUUUCAUAUAAUAUAAAUCCUCAUUUAUUGAGCAUUUAAAUUAUAUGCCCAACAAUUUACUGUGUACAUUACUUCACUUGUUCUUAACUAUAACUCUACAAAAUAUUAUUGUCCUUGAUUUAUAGAUGAAGAUAUUGAGACUCAGUUAAGUAACUUGCUUGAAAUUCAAAAACGUUAACUGUGGAAGGCAGUAUUUGAACCCAGUGUUCAAAACCCCAUGCUCUUUUUAUUAUAUGACCUUAUUUCCUAUUCAGUCUUCAGAAGAUAUAUUGUCUUAUUAGAUUAUUCUCGUUCUCUAAAUAAGUGACCUUGGGCAACUAUCUUUUUCCCUGGUAUUUUCCCCUGCCUUUAAAACAAUGUGAUCAAACUGGAAGUUUUUCACGAUCUCUCUUAGCCCUAAAGCUCCUUGGUUCUGUAAUUCCACCAAUAGCCCAUUUCAAAAAUAAUUCUACAGUAAUCAGUGGGACUCCUGUUUUUCCCAUCUUUUUUUUUUUUGAAACAGAAAAUUGAAACUUUUAAAUUAGUUUAGUAAAUACAUCUACUAGUUUUUUUCUUUUAUAGUCAUGGUUAUAUUAUUUGGUCCUUCUUAGUUGCAACAUGUUUCCUUGCUGUCAAUUUAUAAUACCUCUCAUCAACAAUAGCCUGAAGAAAUAGAUUUGAAUUGCUUUCCCUAAUUUAUAGCUGGAAAACUAGGCUACGCUGGUAUCUUAAAUUGACUUUCCUGAGGUCACGGGCACUCAGUGCCAAGAGGAGUUGGUACCUACGCAUUUGAAAUUUCUGGAUUUCUGGUCUUACUCUGUACUUAGUCACUCUUUUCUUUCAUUUGGCCCUAUGGUGGGCAAACUACAGCCUACAGGCCAAUUCCAGCCUACCAUCUGUUUUUGUAUGGUCCAUGAACUAAGAAUGGUUAUCACAUUUUAAAAUGGUGGGAAAAAAAGACUAUUUUGUGACAUAAAAAUUAUAUGAAAUCCAAAUUUCAGUGUCUAUAAAUUUUGUUGGAAUAUAGUUACCACACUCAUUCUUUUAUGCACUGUUUUUGGCUGGUUUUCUGCCUCAACAGCAGAGUUGAGUAGGUGCAACCAAGACUGUAUGGCCUACAAAGCCUAAAAGUUUGUUAUAGAAAAGUUUGCUGACCAACUCUAUUGGUUGCUUAGUAUUGCUAGGCACUCUGCAAGUCACAGGGAACACAGCAAACUAGACACAUGACUGCCUUGGGCUUAAGAAGAGGUUUCUAAACUUUUGAAUAAAAAACAAAACAAACAACAAACAAAGUUGGAGGGACAUAAAACUUCCAAAUAUUAAUUUUGCCAGUGGGGUUUGUUUGUUUUUUUGUUUGAGAUGGAGUCUUGCUCUGUCACCCAGGCUGGAGUGCAAUGGCGCGAUCUCGGCUCACUGCAACCUCUGCUUCCUGGGUUCGAGCAAUUUUCUUGUCUCAGCUUCCAGAGUAGCUGGGAUUACAGGCACCCGCCACCACGCUUGGCUAAUUUUUUUGUAUUUUUAGCAGAGACGGGUCUGGUCUCGAACUCCCGACCUCAGGUGAUUCGCCCAGCUCCUGGGCGUGAGCCCCAGUGGGUAUUUCUUAAAAACACAGCUACUAUUUUCACUCAUCAUUUUAUUUAAAAAAGGAGUAUGUUAAUACAAAAAAGUAUAUUAAUGCCAAAUUUGUAGGAAGAACAUAAUCUCAAAAAGCACUCUUUCAAAUGGAAUAUAUUAAGCUUCAUGAAAAACUUUACAUGGUCAUUGUUUUUCUCAUUUCAUUAUGGAUCAAAGUAAACUUUCUAGACUGGCCUAUAUCAUCAGACCAGCUUUGGGAAGCACAGGAGUAGUUCACAUUGUUACUUUUCAGGCAAAACAAUCUUUAAAAAUGUUUAGUCUUUAUAGUGAUAGAAUGCUUUAGUUUGAGAAUUUAACUGCUAGUAGCUUUUUUUUUUUUUUUUUUUUUUGAGAUGGAGUCUCGCUCUGUAUCCCAAGCUGGAGUGCAGUGGCGCGAUCUCGGCUCACUGCAACUUCAGCCUCCCGGGUUCACGCUAUUCUCCUGCCUCAGUCUCCCAAGUAGCUGGGACUACAGGCGCCCACCACCACGCCCGGCUAAUUUUUUGUAUUUUUAGUAGAGAUGGGGUUUUACCAUGUUAGCCAGGAUGGUCUCGAUCUCCUGACCUCGUGAUCCACCUGCUUCAGCCUCCCAAAGUGUUGGGAUUACGGGUGUGAGCCACUGCGCCCGGCCAACAGCUACUAACUUUUUAAAGUCAAAAAUAGAAAUAUAGUGAUGGGAAAUUCCAGAAAAGAAAUACAAAGGAAAAUGGGGAAGUAAAGAAAUCUGCCAAUAUUCACUCUCCCCUAACAGACAUUGUAUCCCAUUCGCCCUGUGUUUAGAUGGAGGAUAAUCCAUUUUAGCAUUGAUUUUUCAUCCUGGCUUCUCCAUAGAUGAAAAGAAGAUCAGAAUACUUUAUCUAUUGAAAUAUUGCCCUCUUCACUGCCACUAAGCCACCUUCAACAAACACAUGCACUCACUAAAAACCACAGCAUCAUCUCAAAACCGGAGCCAUCAAAAGAAAUGUGAAUUCCCAUGGAUGAAAAGCCCAUCCAUCAAUAAGGAUUCGAAGUUGGGAAGUGAUAGUUUCCCACUUGCUUUAGAAAGUUUGCUAAUGCUUCAUGACAGACUUCCUAUUUUGCAAUAACUAAAAUGACAGAAGACUAGAAAUUAUCGCUUUAUCUUAUAUGUCCUUAUUCCUGCAGUCUAUGUUAGUGUUUAUGUCCUAAAUGCAUUUUUUUUUUUUUUUUUUUGAGGCGGAGUCUCACUCUGUCACCCAGGCUGGAGUGCAGUGGCGUGAUUCCGGCUCAUUGCAACCUCCGCCUCCCAAGUUCAAGCAAUUCUCCUGCCUCAGCCUCCUGAGUAGCUGGGAUUACAGGCAUGCGCCACCACGCCCAGCUAAUUUUGUAUUUUUAAUAGAGAGGGGAUUUCACUAUCUUAGCCAGGCUGAUCUCAAACUCCCGAUCUCAAGUAAUCCACCUGCCUCAGCCUCCCAAAGUGCUGGGAUUACAGGCGUGAGCCACCACACCCUCCUAAAUGCAUUUUAUAGAACACUAUGCAUAGGAUGUAAUGUUUGGGGGAAAAACAGGAUUCUGUGCUCAAAGAACUACGAGAAAUACUUGGUUAAGCAAAAUCUCAAGGAUUACUUAACACAGGAUUUCUCAGGAUCUAUAAUAUGCUAUUGUCCAUUUAAAGCAUAUACUCAUGUAUAAGAUUCAGAGGCAAGAAAGAGAGCAAGGCACAUAGGAAUGCUUGAGUUUAGGUUACUGAAGUGAACUAAUUUAUUUGGUCAUUUUAGCACCAACAAUUAUAGAAGAAUAGGCCAAUUAUUUUUAUUGACCCAGAUAAUUCUGGGUCUCUGUUGAAAUUGUCUUUGAUAGUUUUCUGGUUUCAUAUCAGCUUUUGAACAGUUUAUUUUUAUCAAUAGAGUGUCCUUUUGCUUAAAUACUUUUCCUCAUUUAAUACAUAUUCCUGCCCUGUAAAUGCAGAUAUCAUCUUUUAAUGUUUAAGAAAUCAUCCUUAAAACUAUGAUUUUCUAAUGUGAAAACUGCCUAAGAACCAUGGAUUAAUGCAGCUGCUGAAAAUCCAAGAGGAGGUGAAACAAUAGGUUUUAUAAUUAAUGCAUUAUAUCAACUAGAGUAGUUUUGACUUUGAGUAACAGGAAACCCCAUUAAUGUAGCUUAAACAAAUAGGUUGUUUUUUCCCUCUUUAUGUGAUGAGUAGUUGGGAGGUGGGUACUCUGGAGAUGGGUAUUGUGGCUCGUGGGUGUCACCAAGCUACCUGGCUCCCUCUGUUUUCCCAUCCAGCCAUCCUUAGCAUGUGAUAUUCAUCUUCAUGACUGCAAGAUGGCUGCUGCUGCUCCAUGCAUUGCAUCCACAUUCAAGACAAAAAGAAUAGGGAAAUGAAGUAAGCAGAAGGUGUGUGUCAGCAGUUGUCUCUUUAUUAAAAAAACAACAAGAACAAAAAAACACACAAACCUUUCCAAAGCCCCAGCCAAUACACUUCCAAGUGUAUCUCAGUGGUCAGAAAAGUGGCACAUGGCCACCACCAGCUGUGUGAAAACCUAAGAAAUUAAAUUCUUUAGUUGGGCACAUUGGGGUUCUGCUAGAAACGUAACCUAAGUCUGGAGCUAGACUACCUUUUGAGAAUCUCAGCUCUGCCACUCAUUAGUUAUAUGAUUUUAGGUGAUUCAUUUCACUUGCCUCCCCUGUAAAGGGAGAUAAGAUAAUAAUAGGGUUGCUAAGUAUUAAUUGAGUUAAUAUUUUUAAAGUGUUUAGAACUGUAUCUGGUAUACAGUAAAUGUUAUAUAAGCACUUUCAAUAAAUGAGU
rnacentral:lncRNA from 1 species